UACGUAGGGUGCAAGCGUUGUCCGGAAUUAUUGGGCGUAAAGAGCUCGUAGGCGGUUUGUCGCGUCGAAUGUGAAAACCCGGGGCUCAACCCCGGGCCUGCAUUCGAUACGGGCAGACUAGAGUUCGGUAGGGGAGUCUGGGAUUCCUGGUGUAGCGGUGAAAUGCGCAGAUAUCAGGAGGAACACCGGUGGCGAAGGCGGGACUCUGGGCCGAUACUGACGCUGAGGAGCGAAAGCGUGGGGAGCGAACAGG
rnacentral:rRNA from 1 species